CCUCACUGGUGUGUGUGCCAUCCCCAGCAUCAGUGUCCUGCAGGUGGUCCUCACUGGUGUGUGUGCCAUCCCCAGCAUCAGUGUCCUGCAGGUGGUCCUCACUGGUGUGUGUGCCAUCCCCAGCAUCAGUGUCCUGCAGGUGGUCCUCACUGGUGUGUGUGCCAUCCCCAGCAUCAGUGUCCUGCAGGUGGUCCUCACUGGUGUGUGUGCCAUCCCCAGCAUCAGUGUCCUGCUGGUGGUCCUCACUGGUGUGUGUGCCAUCCCCAGCAUCAGUGUCCUGCAGGUGGUCCUCACUGGUGUGUGUGCCAUCCCCAGCAUCAGUGUCCUGCAGGUGGUCCUCACUGGUGUGUGUGCCAUCCCCAGCAUCAGUGUCCUGCAGGUGGUCCUCACUGGUGUGUGUGCCAUCCCCAGCAUCAGUGUCCUGCAGGUGGUCCUCACUGGUGUGUGC